rnacentral:sRNA from 1 species
AUACGUACACAUGCAAAUUCAACUACUUAGCUUUCGUUUAUGGGUUAUCUACUAAAGUACUAAUCCUCUUUUAAUAUAAUUAAUGAAGUAAUCUUAACUAUAACUUUGUAUAGUUUAACUUAUAUUAGGUACUAACUAGAUCCGGCCAUGCAGAAAAUUAUACAGCUAAGACUAAAAAGGAUAUGAAUUUCACUUGUUUUUCAAUUUUUGAUAGUAACUCAUACUCCAUUGGCAAUAAAACUACAAGGCCUUAAAUGAUUGUGGUUUUUCAAAAACAUUUCUCCAAAAAAAAACAGGAAAUCUAGUUUUUUGAGUGGUUUUAAGUAUGUUUCCAAGACAAAUUACAAUCCAUUUCCAUAUUUUUUUGGUUUUAAGUAUGUUUCCAAGACAAACUAAAAUCAUCAAUUAAUUACUUAAAUAAUUAAUUAAGUACCAAAGUUUUUUCUCUCUCUUCUCUUUCUAAAUUCUUUCAGAGAGAGAGAAACCUCAAACUCACUUUGCCGUCCGAAUUUUUUUCCGGCUACCGUCUUCUCUGAUAGGGAUUAUCGUCUGGCAAUUACCAGUUCUUUCCGGUGUUGGCCAGCUCUUGUCCGGUAUCAUUCAGCUUUCACAGUGAUGAUGGUCGGCUAUGCCGUCAGCGUUCUUUUGCUGCUUUUUGUUUUUUCAUAAAUUAGCUUUGCUUUCAAUAAAUCUCAUUUGAGAUGUGUUGGUGAUAAUGAUAGAGCGGUUUUCGCUUUUUGUUACUUAUUAUCUAACCUGUUUUUCUUUUUGAGUUUAGAAUUGCAGGAAACAAAUCAGAGAUUUGAGUUGGAAAAAAAAGUGAUUUCCGUUGCAUAUUAACAUUACCUUGAGCUGUUGUUUCUCUAAUUAGGGCUUCGAUUAUUUUUACCGGUGAAAACCCAUAAGAUUCCAUGUUUGAUUUGUUAAUCGACGUUGAAUCUUCACCGGAGUCGAUGUUUGACGGCGAAGGAUGAAGUCGGGAAAACUUUGGAUUCUCAUCCAGUACGUGUAUUGGUUUCUCUCCAGCAGAAGACACGUGGCUUUGGAUAGAGACAAAAGAUAAUAUUUCUUCUUCCAUAGACGGUUUCUCUGUUGGGCUUUAGUUGGGCCUAAUAUGUUUCUGUAGCUUUUUUGUUCUGGGGUAUUUCAUAAUCCAUGUAAUAUUUGACUUAAACAAUAAAAUUAUCCCUAUUGCGAAAAAAAGACUAAAACCAUCAACUACUUUUUUUCAUUUUAUUUUUGUAAAUAAAUAUAUAACCAAUAAUUGGUAAACAUCCAU